GUCUACGGCCAUACCACCCUGACGCGCCCGAUCUCGUCUGAUCUCGGAAGCUAAGCAGGGUCGGGCCUGGUUAGUACUUGGAUGGGAAAAAAAACCUCAUUAAACAUUAACCCAUUUAAGAGCCCCAAAUUUUAAAUA
rnacentral:rRNA from 1 species